GAUGAACGCUAGCGGGAGGCCUAACACAUGCAAGUCGAGCGGUAUUUGUCCUUCGGGUCAGGGCGAGCGGUGUCCGGGUGCGGAAGACGUGUGCAACCUGCCUUUAUCUGGGGGAUAGGCUUUCGAAAGGAAGAUUAAUACCCCAUAAUAUAUCGAAUGGCAUCAUUCGAUAUUGAAAACUCCGGUGGGUAGAGAUGGGCACGCGCAAGAUUAGAUAGUUGGUGAGGUAACGGCUCAGCAAGUCAGUGAUCCUUAGGGGCGCUGAGAGGCUGAUCCCCCACACUGGUACUGCGACACGGACCAGAAUGCUACGGGAGGGAGCAGUGAGGAAUAUUAGAGAAGGGAUGAGGGCCUGAUCCAGCCAUCCCGCGUAAAGAAGUCAUGCCCUAUGAGUUGUAAACUUCUUGUAUAGAGGGAUAAUCCUACUUACGUGUAAGGAGCUGAAGGUACAGUAUGAAUAAGCACCGGCUAACUCCGUG
rnacentral:rRNA from 1 species